rnacentral:lncRNA from 1 species
GGGGGUUGGUAUUAUCAUCAUCUCUCUCUGUUAGGGGGUUGGUAUUAUCAUCAUCUCUCUCUCUGUUAGGGGGUUGGUAUUAUCAUCAUCUCUCUCUGUUAGGGGGUUGGUAUUAUCAUCAUCAUCUCUCUCUGUUAGGGGGUUGGUAUUAUCAUCAUCUCUCUCUGUUAAGGGGUUGGUAUUAUCAUCAUCAUCUCUCUCUCUGUUAGGGGGUUGGCAUUAUCAUCAUCUCUCUCUGUUAGGGGGUUGGUAUUAUCAUCAUCUCUCUCUCUGUUAGGGGGUUGGUAUUAUCAUCAUCUCUCUCUCUGUUAGGGGGUUGGUAUUAUCAUCAUCUCUCUCUGUUAGGGGGUUGGUAUUAUCAUCAUCUCUCUCUUUUAGGGGGUUGGUAUUAUCAUCAUCUCUCUCUGUUAGGUGGUUGGUAUUAUCAUCAUCUCUCUCUGAUAGGGGGUUGGUAUUAUCAUCAUCUCUCUCUCUGUUAGGGGUUGGUAUUAUCAUCAUCAUCUCUGUUAGGGGGUUGGCAUUAUCAUCAUCUCUCUCUGUUAGGGGGUUGAUAUUAUCAUCAUCUCUCUUGCGGGGUUGGUAUUAUCAUCAACUCUCUCUGUUAGGGGGUUGGUAUUAUCAUCAUCUCUCUCUGUUAGGGGGUUGGUAUUAUCAUCAUCUCUCUGUUAGGGGGUUGGUAUUAUCAUCAUCUCUCUCUCUGUUAGGGGGUUGGUAUCAUCUCUCUCUCUCUGUUAGGGGGUUGGUAUUAUCAUCAUCUCUCUCUCUGUUAGGGGGUUGGUAUUAUCAUCUCUCUCUCUGUUAGGGGGUUGGUAUUAUCAUCAUCUCUCUCUGUUAGGGGUUGGUAUUAUCAUAAUCUCUCUCUCUGUUAGGGGGUUGGUAUUAUCAUCAUCUCUCUCUCUGUUAGGGGGUUGGUAUUAUCAUCAUCAUCUCUCUCUGUUAGGGGGUUGGUAUUAUCAUCAUCUCUCUCUCUGUUAGGGGGUUGGUAUUAUCAUCAUCUCUCUCUGUUAGGGGGUUGGUAUUAUCAUCAUCUCUCUCUGUUAAGGGGUUGGUAUUAUCAUCAUCAUCUCUCUCUCUGUUAGGGGGUUGGCAUUAUCAUCAUCUCUCUCUGUUAGGGGGUUGGUAUUAUCAUCAUCUCUCUCUCUGUUAGGGGGUUGGUAUUAUCAUCAUCUCUCGCUCUGUUAGGAGGUUGGUAUUAUCAUCAUCUCUCUCUGUUAGGGGGUUGGUAUUAUCAUCAUCUCUCUCUUUUAGGGGGUUGGUAUUAUCAUCAUCUCUCUCUGUUAGGUGGUUGGUAUUAUCAUCAUCUCUCUCUGUUAGGGGGUUGGUAUUAUCAUCAUCUCUCUCUCUGUUAGGGGGUUGGUAUUAUCAUCAUCAUCUCUCUCUGUUAGGGGGUUGGUAUUAUCAUCAUCUCUCUCUCUGUUAGGGGGUUGGUAUUAUCAUCAUCUCUCUCUCUGUUAGGGGGUUGGUAUUAUCAUCAUCUCUCGCUCUGUUAGGAGGUUGGUAUUAUCAUCAUCUCUCUCUGUUAGGGGGUUGGUAUUAUCAUCAUCUCUCUCUUUUAGGGGGUUGGUAUUAUCAUCAUCUCUCUCUGUUAGGUGGUUGGUAUUAUCAUCAUCUCUCUCUGUUAGGGGGUUGGUAUUAUCAUCAUCUCUCUCUUUUAGGGGGUUGGUAUUAUCAUCAUCUCUCUCUGUUA